CCUACGGGAGGCAGCAGUGGGGAAUAUUGGACAAUGGGGGAAACCCUGAUCCAGCGACGCCGCGUGAGUGAAGAAGUAUUUCGGUACGUAAAGCUCUAUCAGCAGGAAAGAAAAUGACGGUACCUGACUAAGAAGCCCCGGCUAACUACGUGCCAGCAGCCGCGGUAAUACGAAGGGGGCAAGCGUUAUCCGGAUUUACUGGGGGUAAGGGGAGCGUAGACGGCGGCGCAAGUCAGGGGUGAAAUGCCGGGGCCCAACCCCGGAACUGCAAUGGAAACUGGGAAGCUGGAGUGCAGGAGAGGUAAGCGGAAUUCCUGGUGUAGCGGUGAAAUGCGUAGAUAUCAGGAAGAACACCGGCGGCGAAGGCGGCUUACUGGACUGUAACUGACAUUGAGGCUCGAAAGUGUGGGGAGCAAACAGGAUUAGAUACCCUAGUAGUC
rnacentral:rRNA from 1 species